rnacentral:rRNA from 1 species
GAUGAACGCUAGCGGCAGGCCUAAUACAUGCAAGUCGGACGGGAUUGCGGUGUAGCUUGCUAUACUGCAUGAGAGUGGCGCACGGGUGCGUAACGCGUGAGCAACCUGCCCAUGUCAGGGGGAUAGCCCGUUGAAAGACGGAUUAAGACCGCAUAACACAUAAGUACCGCAUGGUGUUUAUGUCAAAUAUUUAUAGGACAUGGAUGGGCUCGAGUGGGAUUAGCUAGUUGGUAAGGUAACGGCUUACCAAGGCUAUGAUGCCUAGGGGCGCUGAGAGGAGGGACCCCCACACUGGUACUGAGACACGGACCAGACUCCUACGGGAGGCAGCAGUAGGGAAUAUUGGUCAAUGGGCGGGAGCCUGACCCAGCCAUGCCGCGUGCGGGAAGAAGGCCCUAUGGGUCGUAAACCGCUUUUAUACGGGAACAACCGCAGCUACGUGUAGCUGUCUGAGUGUACCGUAGGAAUAAGGAUCGGCUAACUCCGUGCCAGCCGCCGCUGUAA